UCCACUUCCUAUCCCUGCCUCAGUUCUCCCCAGGCUGCUGGGAUCUGUCGGCGGAUGGGAUUUGUUUGUUGAUGUGUUUUCAAAGGAGCACCCUGUGGAAAGACACUGUACAAAGGGGCCGAUAAGUUGGAUUUCCUCGUGUUUGCCAAUGUUUCCCUCUUUGGCGUGUCCUCCGCCUGAGCGACGGGUUCCACCAUCAGGGCUCGGCUUGCCGGGAGAAAUCUGUUAGGAAGCAGCAUUUUUUGGAAGCAUCUUGAGGACCACGGCCGAGCCCUCAAGCUUUCUUCCAGGCAUAAAGCUGGACGAGAUGGCCGCAGCCUGCCUCCAGUCUGUCCACAGAAUACAGGGCGUCCGUUCCUUUCAACCGGCAAGAAGCAAGUGGGUUGGAUUCCAAGCUGUCACCCUGAAUCCUUUGGCAGGAGCCAGCAUCUCCUGCCGCACCCCCCACCUCCAAGGUUUCCAGAGCUCAGAGGGAAACUUCUUGCGGCCCUGGGAUCCCCGUUAUCUGCUUUCUUCUCUCCAGUGCCCGAUGGCUGGACCCAGAGGCAGGCUUUACUCUGUACUUGCUGCUCCGGGCGACCCCGGACAGGGCGAGGGUGGGUGGGCACAGGUUAGAACUCCAGUAAGGAGCAACAAGGGUGCCAAUUAGAGCUUCGGUCCGGAGGCCUCUAGUCCUCCGGCUCUCGCCGUCCAGUCCCCCCGCCCCCCACAGCAGUACCCCUGUGGAGCUCGGCUCAGCGCCGCGGCCAGAGUGCGCCCCCUAGCGGGGGCUCUGGGUAGGCCGAACCCUCUCCGCUGCAGCCUCUAGGGACUGAAGUUGGCAGAUCCAAGUGAUCCGGCAGGAAUGAAUGGGGGAAGAAAACAAAAGCCUUGGAAACAUUUCCAAGUGUUCAAUAAAAGACCCAUCUGUACCUUUCUUCUCCA